GGAGAAUGUUCCAAGCAUCAAGGGCUCGAAGGGAGUAUUGGGAGAAUCUGCUGCCAGCUUCAGGCAGACCUUUCUGUCCUUCGCUGUCAAAGCCAGACUUCUAAGGAGUAGUGAAAGAAAACCCUGAAAUAAUCGAACAGGAAAAAGUUGCCCUCAAGCCUGACCUGGAACCGUUCCUCACCUUCAUCCUCACCAUGCCCUGCUAUCUCCAGCUGCUGAGCAGCUGAGGUGCUGCAGCCCCUUCCCUUCCAGCCCACAAGUGUGUGCAUAUUGAGCUCCUGCUGUGGUUAAGCACUGCAACAGACUCUACCAGAGAUGCAAAGAGAAGCGAGAGAGGCACCUUGUUCUCCAAGAACUUACUGUCCAAUCAUGCUGUGGUGCAUUCCUUUGAAGAUCAUGAAGAAUAGCCAAACUUGUCUUUGAGGGUGAAUUUGACACUUUAAAAUAAUCAGAAGUCACUGAGACCCAAAGCUAGUGAAUAAUUCAAGUGACUAAGCUAGAUACUUGAGGAUGAUAGAGCAACACUAAACUAAAGCAAUGAGUCUGCUUUUUUUAAUGAUUUAUACAAUGACUCCAAAGGCAAUCCCAAAGAAAAGAUGUAAAGAAUGUUUUGAGCAAUGGUAGCAUUAUUGAAAUAAAUGUUUAACUAUCCAAAGUGAUUACUUUCAAAGAUGAUUUUUACUUAAAGAUAUUAGGUCUGGCCAGGCGAAGUGACUCACACCUGCAAUCCCAGCACUUUGGGAGGCCGAGGCGGGCGGAUCACCUGAGGUCAGCAGUUCAAGACCAGCCUGACCAACAUGGUGAAACCCUGUCUCUACCAAAAUACAAAAAUUAGCCGGGCAUGAUGGCGGGUGCCUGUAAUCCCAGCUACUCGGGAGGCUGAGGCAGGAGAAUCGCUUGAACCCAGGAGGCGGAGCUUGCAGUGAGCCGAGAUCAGGCCAUUGCACUUCAGCCUGGGUGACAGAGUGAGACUCCAUCUCAAAAAAAAAAAAAAAAGAUAUUAGGUCCUAGAAUUUUUAAAAUGUGUCUUCAUAAUCAUAGGUAGCUAGGUUAUAAACUAUUUAAAGACAAGAUCACGUGAUAAGCUUAUAAUCUUCUCAUAAUUCCCCUUACUUAGCAUUGUGUUAGACAUACUAAUAGGUGCACAGUGAAAUACUUAUUGUUGAUUGUUUAAAAAUAAAGUUUUAGAAAACCUUUUCAAAAGUCAGAGUUUAGGCCAGGGGCACAGGCUGACACCUAUAAUCCCAGCACUUUGGGAGGCCAGGGCGGGCAGAUCACUUGGGUCAAGAGUUCAAGGCCAGCCUGGCCAACAUGGCAAAACCCCAUCUCUACUAAAUAAAAUACAAAAAUUAUCCAGGCAUGGUGGUGCAUGCCUGUAAUCCCAGCUACUUGGAGGCUGAGGCAUGAGAAUUGCUUGAACCUGGGAGGCAGAGGUUGCAGUGAGCUGAGAUCGCCCCACUGCAAUCCAGCCUGGGAGACAUAAUUCAAAUCUAUUUUGGUCUUAUAUCUUCUUAUGUUUGUGUUAUUUCAUGUGUGCCAGUUUCUCUUUUUUUCACAACAAUUUAUCAAUUUGUGGCAAUAAAAAUGAUUUACCUUU
rnacentral:lncRNA from 10 species